CCGCCUAUAUACCACCGUCGUCAGCUUACCCUGCGAAGAUCCAACAGUAAGCACAAUUGGCACAGCCCAAAACGUCAGGUCGAGGUGUAGCGUAUGGAGGGGGAAGAAAUGGGCUACAUUCCCUACCUCAGGGAACCACGGACGAUACUCUGAAAUAAGUAUCUAAAGGAGGAUUUAGCAGUAAGCAGAAAAUAGAGCGUUCCGCUGAAACCGGCCCUGAAGCGCGCACACACCGCCCGUCACUCUCCCCGAGCUUAAUAAACUCAACUAACUAAAACCCUAUACCUGCAAAGGGGAGGCAAGUCGUAACAUGGUAAGUGUACCGGAAGGUGCACUUGGAAAAAUC
rnacentral:rRNA from 1 species